GAGGAGAUUUUGAAACUAUCGAUAUAACGAAACAAAACAGUACGGGAGACCAAAAAAAGUUAUAUAAUUUUAUGGUUACAUUAUUUUAUUCUUAUAUUUUAGUAAUAUAUUAACUGCAUCUUAUUCUUCGAGCUCUUAAGUUUUUUUUUUUUUUUUUUCUAUAGUCAGUUUGAAAGUUCCUACGAUGCUUCCUAGAGAGUUACCAGAAGAUUAAUAUGGGAUGAAACAAGUCAACGACUAUGGUCGUCUUUUGGAUUGUAGACGAACUUUGGGGUCAUAUCUUAUUUUAUACGCUGUGUAAUUAAAUAAUUGGUAGGUUAACUUAGGUUUUAUUAUAGUAUCAAUAACAAAACUUAGGGUUUAAUAUUUUAAUCCCCAAAA
rnacentral:lncRNA from 1 species